AACAAGUUUUUACUGUCGGAUACAUAUUAGGUUAGGUAGUUAAUAGUUAUUAGUUAUGCGCCCAGGCGAUGUAAGCCGACUCGGGGAAGAUCAUAAUAUUAUAUAUCUUUACGAGUGAAAAGUGAAAACGACUGACAAGUCUCAAAGGAUACAAACAAAUUGAUUUUCUACCGAUUCUACGACAGAUUCCUUGUCGAACAUCGAAUUACCUAAUAUUCAACAUUUUGAUCGAAAUGUCUGACGAAAAUGAGAUGUUAAGAGAAAAUCUAGAAGCUCAGUUGGAACGUUUGGUCCAACAACUCAGCGAUUUAGAGGAAUGCAGAAGUGAUAUGACUGACGAUGAAUAUAACGAGUCAAAAGAAGACACUGUUGAACAGCUAAAAGAAUUCAAUGAUAGAUUGAGUAAAAUUACUGCUGGUGACAUGACUAUACAUGACAAUUUGAGCAUUAUGCGUUUGGCAACUAGUGCAGCCAUAACAAAAGCAUUUCAAACACCGUCAAUCAUCAAAAUGUUUGCUAAGAAUGAACCAAAUGCACUCAAAGACAAACGUAAUCAAAUUGAAAGAAAUAUAAAAUUGGGUAAAUUGAGCUUGGAAGUUGGAAAUCGACAAAAGCUUGAAGUAUUAACUGCGUUGAGACAUCUUGGCUGCGAGCUGACGGAUAGUGAUAAAAUGUUUAUUAGAGAAGAAACAAGCAAACUUCAAAGCUGUUUGCCAUCGAAUGGUUUUAAUAUAUCAGACUCUUUAAAUGGUUUUGAUUUGAAUGAUGAUAAUUUUUUUGAGAUUUUCAAAUAAGUACUUGCGUAAUGCGUUGGUUGUCAGAUGCAAAAAGGGUAACACAUUUUUGUGAGAUGAAAAACUUCAUUCAUCAUUUACUGAAAUUUCAAUAUGUUUUUGAAACUGGAUGACACUACACCAUAAACUUGGCGUCUUAGAUUAUUUAAUGUUUAUAUUAAAUUAUAUAACACCAACCACUAACAUGGUAAUGAACAGUAUUUUUUAUAUAAUGAAUUGUUGUAUAUUUAUUUACUUAGUGGUAAUUGACAUAGACCAAAUGUUAACUAUAUUAUUAUAUAAGACUUUAUUUUAUGUAUUAAUAUGUGUUACUUGUAAGUAAUUGUGAAUUGUGUUUAAAAAAACUUAAGUUUUGAUAUUUUAUUAUUGUUAUAAGUUCCAUUUUAUUAAAAUUUAACUAAAGCCAUAUUAAAAACCAUCUGUUAUGCAAUAUAGUAAUAUGUUUUUAAUUUAAUUGCUGUAUAUUAUAUAACAACAUUAAAUCUUGUUUGUUAUUUAACUUAUAUAUUUUAAAUUGUGUCAGGAAGAAUUCAAUUAGUUUAAUAUUUUUUAAAUCAGUGUUCUUAAAUGGUCCAAUUGGUAAUUUUAGUUUGAAACAAAUGGUUUAAAUGUAUGAAUUAUUUAUAGUUUUCCAGAUUUCCAAUGUUAAAUAUCACAAUUCUUAAUUAAUUUAAUAUCUAUCUACUCAUAGAUCCGAUAAUCCUAAUAAUAUCAGUACCAACACGGAGUAAAAUAUUUUCUAAAAUUGAAUGAUUGCUUUUAUAUACUAAUACUAAUUUAAGUAAGGUACAGUCAGUGUGUAUUUUUUAGGUCGACAUUUUAAAAAGAAAUAAUAUAACAUCACAUUGUGAUUCACUGGCUGAAGAACAGUUCUAAGCCUCUUCUAAA